AUUGAACGCUGGCGGCAGGCCUAACACAUGCAAGUCGAACGAGUGGCGGACGGGUGAGUAAUGUCUGUGACACUGCCUGAUGGAGGGGGAUAACUACUGGAACCGGUAGCUAAUACCGCAUAACAUCAGCUGUGCCCAGGUGGGAUUAUGUAGUUGGUGGGGUAACGGCUAACAAAGGCGACGAUCCCUCGCUGGUCUGAGAGGAGGACCAGCCACACUGUAACUGAGACACGGUCCAGACUCCUACGGGAGGCAGCAGUGGGGAAGAUUGGACAAUGGGCGAAAGCCUGAUGCAGCCAUGCCGCGUGUAUGAAGAAGGCCUUCGGGUUGUAAAGCACUUUCAGCGGGGAGGCGUUACCCACAGAAUAAGCACCGGCUAACUCCGUGCCAGCCGCCGCGGUAAUUC
rnacentral:rRNA from 1 species